UACGUAGGGUGCGAGCGUUGUCCGGAAUUAUUGGGCGUAAAGAGCUCGUAGGCGGCUUGUCGCGUCGGAUGUGAAAGCCCGGGGCUUAACUCCGGGUCUGCAUUCGAUACGGGCAGGCUAGAGUCCGGAAGAGGAGAGUGGAAUUCCUGGUGUAGCGGUGAAAUGCGCAGAUAUCAGGAGGAACACCGGUGGCGAAGGCGGGUCUCUGGGCCGAUACUGACGCUGAGGAGCGAAAGCGUGGGGAGCGAACAGG
rnacentral:rRNA from 1 species